rnacentral:misc_RNA from 1 species
CAAAUGCGAUAAAUAGUGCGAACUGCAGAUAUUCUGAGCACUAAGAUUUCGAAUGCACAUUGCGCCAUUGGGCUUUUGCUCUUUGGCACAUCUGGUUCAGGGUCGUAUAUGCCAAACAGAUGCUAUUCUGUUGAGUAAGGCAAGUUCAAUUCAAUGUUAAACGGAGAUUGCCGAUUUGAAUUGUACUCGCAAUGCAUAACUGGCUUGCUGGCUAAAAUACACUGGUUCUCUGUCUUGGAUAAUUUAGACGUAGAGCCGUGCUGUGUUUCUGCUAAGCGAAAAAAGCCCUCGAUUAUUCGACCUGAACUCAGUUGUGACUACCCGCUGAACUUAA